rnacentral:rRNA from 1 species
UCCUGGCUCAGAACGAACGCUGGCGGCGUGCCUAACACAUGCAAGUCGUACGAGAAAUCCUGGGCAACUGGGAGAGUAAAGUGGCGCACGGGUGAGUAACGCGUGGGUAACUACCCUUGAAUUGGGGAUAACUCUCCGAAAGGGGAGUUAAUACCGAAUAACGUUCCGAUUCCUACGGGAGUUGGAAUCAAAGGUGGCCUCUGCAUGCAAGCUAUCGUUUAAGGAUGGGCCCGCGUGCCAUUAGCUAGUUGGUAGGGUAAUGGCCUACCAAGGCAGCGAUGGUUAGCUGGUCUAAGAGGAUGGCCAGCCACACUGGAACUGAGACACGGUCCAGACUCCUACGGGAGGCAGCAGUGGGGAAUCUUGCGCAAUGGGGGAAACCCUGACGCAGCAACGCCGCGUGGGUGAUGAAGGCCUUCGGGUCGUAAAGCCCUGUCAGGUGGGAAGAAACCUGUGGAUGCUAAUAUCAUCCACAAUUGACGGUACCACCGGAGGAAGCACCGGCUAACUCCGUGCCAGCAGCCGCGGUAA